GCUUUCGUGGUAUAGUGGUCAGCACGCUGGGAACGGGUUCCAGAGGUCUGGGGUUCGAGUCCCGCCGAAAUCG
rnacentral:tRNA from 1 species